CUGGGAACUGCGCUUGUGACUGCAAGMCUAGAGUAUGGCAGAGGGGGGUUGAAUNCCACGYGYAGCACAGUGAAAUGGUAGAGAUGUGGAGGAACACCAAUGGCGAAGGCAGCCCCUGGGCCCAAUACUGACGCUCAUGCACGAAAGCGUGGGUAGCAAACAGGAUUAGAUACCCUGGUAGUCCACGCCCUAAACGAUGUCAACUAGGUGUUGGGUGGGUAAAACCAUUUGGUACCGGAGCUAACGCGUGAAGUUGACCGCCUGGGGAGUACGGCCGCAAGGUUAAAACUCAAAGGAAUUGACGGGGACCCGCACAAGCGGUGGAUGAUGUGGAUUAAUUCGAUGCAACGCGAAAAACCUUACCUACCCUUGACAUGUCCAGGAGCCUGAAGAGAUUUGGGUGUGCCCGAAAGGGAACUGGAACACAGGUGCUGCAUGGCUGUCGUCAGCUCGUGUCGUGAGAUGUUGGGUUAAGUCCCGCAACGAGCGCAACCCUUGUCGUUAAUUGCCAUCAUUUAGUUGGGCACUUUAACGAGACUGCCGGUGACAAACCGGAGGAAGGUGGGGAUGACGUCAAGUCCUCAUGGCCCUUAUGGGUAGGGCUUCACACGUCAUACAAUGGUCGGUACAAAGGGUUGCCAACCCGCGAGGGGGAGCCAAUCCCAGAAAGCCGAUCGUAGUCCGGAUUGCAGGCUGCAACUCGCCUGCAUGAAGUCGGAAUCGCUAGUAAUCGUGGAUCAGCAUGUCACGGUGAAUACGUUCCCGGGUCUUGUACACACCGCCCGUCACACCAUGGGAGCGGGUUCCGCCAGAAGUAGGUAGCCUAACCGCAAGGAGGGCGCUUACCACGGCGGGGUUCGUGACUGGGGUG
rnacentral:rRNA from 1 species